AGGCCUGCGGGGGGGAUUUCAAGAGAGAUGGCUGAGAAAAGCGUUGGAAAGGGGCAACGGAGCCCUUUCUGCGUGCCAGGCGCGCACCCCUCAAGGAAGCUGCUUCCCCCUGGAGAUGGCCUUGUGACAUUCUUGCGCCCGGGUCGGACAGAUUGUACAAGGGAAAUAGCAUCGUCUGCGUUUUAUUGAUGAGGAAACUAAGGCUUGGAGAGAUUUCGUGACUGGCCCAAUUCAUCACGUUAGAAAGUAGCAGAGCUGAGCCUCCAGCCCUGAUACGUCUGACUCCAAAAUCCAUUGCAAUUGGCUCAGGAGAAGCUCACACCCAUCGCGAAUACGUCAAAUCUACUCUGACUGCCGGAGCGUGUCACUCGUUGGUCUAAAGCAUGUUUAUAUUACAUGAAAAAUGCCUUCUCUUCCUGGUUCUUCCUUUGUCCUCUCAGGCCCUUUAGGAGGUCACAGGGCAGGAGCUAAUGCUCCACUUAACAAUUAUGGGGAAACUGAGGCCGUGAGCAGUAGCCUGAGGCAUCAUCAAGGCUUAAACACACAGGGUUUCCUUUUCUUGGGUAAUACGAAAUCUGGAGCUGGCCAGACCAGGGCUGGUGUAGCUGUUGCACCAUACUCAGCAAACAGCUUCUGCUUUAUGGUCUGUCCGGGUUAUUUAUUGCUGCUUAACAAACUACCCCAAAACACCAUUUCAUUAUUUUCUACAGUUUUGUGGGUCAGAAAUUUGGGCAGGGCUCAGCUGGGUGAUCCUUCUGAUCCAUGGGCAUCAGCCAGUCACUUGGUCGUAUUCAGUUGAUGGUUGGGCUCGUCUGGAGGGUCAAGAUGGUUUUACCAGGAUUCCUGGGGCUUUGGUGGGGAAACCUGAAAUGCUGAGCUAGCUGGGUUCCUCCCCCUUUCCAUGUGGUCUCAGGGCCUCUCCAGGUGGUCUCUCCAGCAGAGUGGUUUGACAUUUUUCCAUGGCAGCUCAUGAAUCCAAGAGGCCACGGCAGAAGCUACCAGUGCUCUUAAGGGCUGGGCCUUGAAUUGGCAGAGUAUCAUUUCCGCUAUACUCUGUUGACCCGAGAAGUCACAGGCCAGCCCAAAUUCAGAUUCCCAAAUAGCCUCUUCCUCUCGAAGGAAGGACAGCCAAAGAAUCAGCAGCUAUCUUUAAUUCACCACACGGUCCAAGAUGGCUGCUUGAGAUCCAGUCAUCACAUCUCAAAUUCCCCCUGGCAAAGAAGAAGAGAGGAAUAAGAUGUAUACCCUCUCUUUUAAGACAUUUUCUAGAAGUCUCACAAAACAUUUCUCAUUGGCAAGAACUCACAUGGCCAUACUGAGGAUGUGGAAGGGAAGCUGGGAACCGUAAUCCUCAUUCCAGGCUGCCAUAUGCCGAACUGAAAAUUAUGGAUUCUAUUGACUAAGAAAGAAAGAGAGAGUGGAUAUUGAGGAACAGCUAGAAAUCUGUUCCACUGUUGAAUUUUUUGCUUCCAACAGCCAAACACAUUCCUAAUGGACAUUUCGUUUGCAAUCUUGCCCCUCCUAAUACAUCCUCCACACUGUCACCAAAAUAAUCUUUCCUUCUUAAUUAUUCUUUUAUGUUCCUAAAAGGUAAGUCUUUUCUUCAUUCCCAUGCCAACAGCAAGUGUCUGCAGUUUUUUGUGCGGAGGCCAUGGGAUUUGAAUGCCUGAAACAAUAAUAGCAUCCGCCACACACCAGGCACUGCGCCAAGCGCUAUACGGACAUGUCUUACUCAAGCCUCACAGUAACCCCAUGAGAUAGGAUCACGCAUGAGGAAACAGCAGCUCAGAGAAGUUAAGUGACUUACCCCAGGCCACACAGUGAGUAGGGGCAAGGUGGAGAUUCAAAUCCUUAUCUGUCAGAUUCCAGGCAUGUGCUGAGGCACCCACACAUGUGAAGCCCAGGGACCACUGACUGGUAACCACCCUGGAGCAUGGGCAAGGCUCCUGCUUGGAGUGGGAGUGUCAGCAGAGGCAAAUGAGAGCCCCGAGCCUGCAGACGCCCCUCGUCCCCGCGGUCCUCUGGCCAGGCAGCCCGCACCAAGCCCAGCCUCAGGCAGGCCUGGUUCAAGAAAUCAAACUGGCACCAGGGCUUCACAUCAUUCUGUUCCCUUUACGCCCUGAAGGAGCCCCAGCCCAUGAGCAGGAGACUCCACAGAACUGGCUGCAGGGCCAAGCGGCAGUCAGGGAACAGGCUGAGUUGAAUGAAGCGCCUCCCAGCUCUGAGGUUCUGACCCCAGCUUCUUCUUGCCUUGACUUCACCCCGUUGGAGAACAUACCGUGGCUCCCAGAUCCCCUCGGGUUCAGUUUUACCCUGCCAAGGGGCUAGACGAGGGAAAGGGACAGCAAACCUGGGUUCACAUCCUGGUCCCAUCCUUUUGGUGAGUCUCCGUUCCCGCAUCUGUCAAAUGCGAGGAAUACCCCUGCUCUGCUAGCUUAUCCGGGUGUCGGGUGUCGAGGACCACACAGGACAAGGGGGAGGAACGGGCUUUGCAGACCAGGGCUGGUGCAGCAUGCAGAACCCACUUCAGCAGACUGCCUGUAGGGACUAGGCAUUCAUCCCCUCGGAGGGCAGGGAGAGCUGGAGGGGCGGGG
rnacentral:lncRNA from 1 species